GAGCGAUAGAGCUUACUCGUAUCUCGCAUACUUCCUUAUAUAUACUCGUAGUCGGCUCUUCGUCAGAUCGUAUCACAACAGUGCUUCCGAUCAGAAGGCGUGCUAUAUCAGGAAAGAAUGUCGCAUCACGACCCUCAUCACCACGGGCCUCAUGAUCCACAUGGACCGCAUCAUGACCACCAUCCACCACCGCAUGACCCGAGGCCGCAUCAUGAUGGGCCACCUCCAGAGCACCAUGGACACCAUGGGCCACCACAUGAGCACCAUGGGCCCCCACAUGAGCACCAUGGACACCAUGGGCCACCACACGAACACCAUGGUCCUGGACAUCAUCACCCACCACCUCCAUAGUUGUCCAGUAGCCUACAACACUAAUUUGUGAACAAAUUUACAUUGUAUUAUUACUGACAAUGCUCUAAUAAAUUAAUUUGUUUCUCAA